rnacentral:rRNA from 1 species
GAUACCCUAGUACACUUAAACUUAAUUAGUAACAUUAGAAUAUUAAAAGUUAUGUUCUUUAAAUUUAAAAAAUUUGGCGGUGUUUUAGUCUAGUUAGAGGAACCUGUUUUAUAAACGAUACAACACGCAUUAUUUUACUUAUUUUAGUAGAUCAGUUUGUAUACCGUCAUUAUAAGAUAAUUUAAGAGAGAAUAUUAUUGAAAUCAUAUUAUUGAGUAUAUUAGAUCAAGGUGCAGCUUAUGAGUAAGUAAACAUGGGUUACAAUAAAAUUUAUUUAAUAUGAAUUAAAUGUUUAAAUAUGUUUAUGAAGGAGGAUUUAAUUGUAAGAGGAGAGUAGAGAGCUUUUCUGAUAAAAGCUCUAAAUUAUGUACAUAUCGCCCGUC